UGAGCUCCGACAUUCUGAUCUAAUGGCUGCUGUCAAGCCUGCAGUUGAACUUUGACCCCGGCUCUCAGACUCGGCGAAGCUUACUCAGCAUUCAGCUCUGCUCCGCUAUCUCUGCUAUUAGCAUCGAGGGAGACGCCGAGGCUUCAGAUCCUUAAGUACAAACGCAGAGACGGACUGUCAUAAUGCGCUAGACCUUCUGCCUCCACCGUAUGGGUUUAGCAGAAGCUAAGAAACGUUAGCGCUACGCAGGCUUCUCCCUGAGUGCACCGCUCCAGAUCGGGUCGUGCUGCUUCCCUGAUCUUGGCAGCACAUCCGCUCCUUCACGUCUCCGACACCACCGGAUGUUUAAGGCGGUACGAAGAGAAGCAUCUGUCCACCAGGCCGCACAAAUGGAGAUCCUGCCGAGACAACGAAAAACACGAGUCUGAGCGAGGAACACUCGAGCGGAGGAAAAUGUGCUGCGCUGUGCAGACGCUGAACUUUUGCCCAGAUCCACCUGGCUGCACCAGACCGAAUUUCAGCCAUGAUGAACCCCAGGGAUCCAUCGCUACACGCUGAAGAACACAUGUUCAUCUCAGACGAGUGUUCAGCGCCGCCUCGGACGCAGAGAAAACAAGAGCUCGGGUACUGAACGGAAUACGGUAUCCCAAGAUCAAACAUCUCCACGGUUAAGAAGUGUAAUGAAACAAUAAAGAAGUAAAGCUAAAGUGCA